UUUUCAUCUCCAUGUUUUCGAAUUCGCAGACAUUUUUUUAAUCGAGUGUUUCCAGUGGUGUCAUUCAAGAGGAGCGUAGAGGGAGCUGAAGAGAUGACGAUAAAACCUGUUGUUCGCGUUUCGGAGGGAAAGUUG
rnacentral:sRNA from 1 species